rnacentral:rRNA from 1 species
AUGAACGCUAGCGACAGGCUUAACACAUGCAAGUCGAGGGGCAGCACAGGUAGCAAUACCGGGUGGCGACCGGCGCACGGGUGAGUAACGCGUAUGCAACUUGCCUAUCAGAGGGGGAUAACCCGGCGAAAGUCGGACUAAUACCGCAUGAAGCAGGGAUCCCGCAUGGGAAUAUUUGCUAAAGAUUCAUCGCUGAUAGAUAGGCAUGCGUUCCAUUAGGCAGUUGGCGGGGUAACGGCCCACCAAACCGACGAUGGAUAGGGGUUCUGAGAGGAAGGUCCCCCACAUUGGUACUGAGACACGGACCAAACUCCUACGGGAGGCAGCAGUGAGGAAUAUUGGUCAAUGGCCGAGAGGCUGAACCAGCCAAGUCGCGUGAGGGAUGAAGGUUCUAUGGAUCGUAAACCUCUUUUAUAAGGGAAUAAAGUGCGGGACGUGUCCCGUUUUGUAUGUACCUUAUGAAUAAGGAUCGGCUAACUCCGUGCCAGCAGCCGCGGUAAUACGGAGGAUCCGAGCGUUAUCCGGAUUUAUUGGGUUUAAAGGGUGCGUAGGCGGCCUUUUAAGUCAGCGGUGAAAGUCUGUGGCUCAACCAUAGAAUUGCCGUUGAAACUGGGGGGCUUGAGUAUGUUUGAGGCAGGCGGAAUGCGUGGUGUAGCGGUGAAAUGCAUAGAUAUCACGCAGAACCCCGAUUGCGAAGGCAGCCUGCCAAGCCAUUACUGACGCUGAUGCACGAAAGCGUGGGGAUCAAACAGGAUUAGAUACCCUGGUAGUCCACGCAGUAAACGAUGAUCACUAGCUGUUUGCGAUACAGUGUAAGCGGCACAGCGAAAGCGUUAAGUGAUCCACCUGGGGAGUACGCCGGCAACGGUGAAACUCAAAGGAAUUGACGGGGGCCCGCACAAGCGGAGGAACAUGUGGUUUAAUUCGAUGAUACGCGAGGAACCUUACCCGGGUUUGAACGCAUUCGGACCGAGGUGGAAACACCUUUUCUAGCAAUAGUCGUUUGCGAGGUGCUGCAUGGUUGUCGUCAGCUCGUGCCGUGAGGUGUCGGCUUAAGUGCCAUAACGAGCGCAACCCUUGCCACUAGUUACUAACAGGUAAAGCUGAGGACUCUGGUGGGACUGCCAGCGUAAGCUGCGAGGAAGGCGGGGAUGACGUCAAAUCAGCACGGCCCUUACAUCCGGGGCGACACACGUGUUACAAUGGCGUGGACAAAGGGAGGCCACCUGGCGACAGGGAGCGAAUCCCCAAACCACGUCUCAGUUCGGAUCGGAGUCUGCAACCCGACUCCGUGAAGCUGGAUUCGCUAGUAAUCGCGCAUCAGCCAUGGCGCGGUGAAUACGUUCCCGGGCCUUGUACACACCGCCCGUCAAGCCAUGGGAGCCGGGGGUACCUGAAGUCCGUAACCGCGAGGAUCGGCCUAGGGUAAAACUGGUGACUGGGGCU